UACGUAGGUCCCGAGCGUUGUCCGGAUUUAUUGGGCGUAAAGCGAGCGCAGGUGGUUUAUUAAGUCUGGUGUAAAAGGCAGUGGCUCAACCAUUGUAUGCAUUGGAAACUGGUAGACUUGAGUGCAGGAGAGGAGAGUGGAAUUUCAUGUGUAGCGGUGAAAUGUGUAGAUAUAUGGAGGAACACCGGUGGCGAAAGCGGCUCUCUGGCCUGUAACUGACACUGAGGCUCGAAAGCGUGGGGAGCAAACAGG
rnacentral:rRNA from 1 species